AUUGAACGCUGGCGGCAUGCCUUACACAUGCAAGUCGAACGGCAGCACGGGAGCAAUCCUGGUGGCGAGUGGCGAACGGGUGAGUAAUAUAUCGGAACGUGCCCAGUAGUGGGGGAUAACUGCUCGAAAGAGCAGCUAAUACCGCAUACGACCUGAGGGUGAAAGGGGGGGAUCGCAAGACCUCUCGCUAUUGGAGCGGCCGAUAUCAGAUUAGCUAGUUGGUGGGGUAAAGGCCUACCAAGGCAACGAUCUGUAGUUGGUCUGAGAGGACGACCAACCAAACAGGGACUGAGACACGGCGCAGACUCCUACGGGAGGCAGCAGUGGGGAAGUUUGGACAAUGGGCGCAAGCCUGAUCCAGCAAUGCCGCGUGCAGGAAGAAGGCAUUCGGGUUGUAAACUGCUUUUGUCAGGGAAGAAAUCCUCUAGGUUAAUACCCUUGGGGGGAUGACGGUACCUGAAGAAUAAGCACCGGCUAACUACGUGCCAGCCGCCGCCGUAACAC
rnacentral:rRNA from 1 species